GAUUGUUUUAGUAGUAUUCACAAAUGUUAACACACACCAUCCCACAAUAGCAAAAACAAUAUUCCAAACCGUAGAUACAGUAUAAAAACCUCUGCUUCUGCAAUGAUAUCAGUUCAAAAACAAUAUAUCUCAGCUGAUAAUGAACAAACUAUUGAAUUAUUGACAGCUGAUUUAUGUUGGGUAAAUUGGGCCAACAACAGCUGAUUCCAGUCUGGCUUAUUUAAGGAGGACUUUGAGGAGUGAUGUUUUUGGAAACAGAAAAAGACAAACACUGUAAUGUCUGGACGAGGAAGAGGAAGAGCAAGGGGCCCAGGGAGAAGACCAGGUCCAGUGAGAGGUGCAGAAGGAGGUGCAGGAAGAGGAGCAG
ensembl:lncRNA